rnacentral:misc_RNA from 1 species
AGAAAAUAGUGGGACAAAUUCAGGCAUCCAGUUUCGUCACUUUCUCGAAAGAGGAGAUAGACCCGGCUGGCUUGAAUCACACAAAGGCUUUACACGUGACAGUUAAACGCAAGGGGUGCAUAGUUGCCAAGGUUCUGAUCGACAACGGAUCUGCCCUUAAUGUCUUGCCCAAUGCCACCUUGGCAAGGCUACCUGUUGACUGAUUAAACAUACGCCAAAGUUCCAUAAUGGUAAGAGCCUUUGAUGGCACAAGGAGG